rnacentral:misc_RNA from 1 species
AAGUCGUAACAAGGUUUCCGUAGGUGAACCUGCGGAAGGAUCAUUAACGAAUAUCUAUGGCGUUGGUUGUAGCUGGCUCCUAGGAGCAUUGUGCACGCCCGUCAUUCAUAUCAUCUUUCCACCUGUGAACCAUGUGUAGGCCUGGAUACCCCUCGCUUUGGCAACAAAGCGGAUGCAAGGAUUGCUGCGUCGACAAGGCCAGCUCUCUUUGAAUUUCCAGGUUCUAUGUCUUUUACACACCCCAUUUGAAUGAUUUAGAAUGUAGUCAAUGGGCUUUCAUGCCUAUAAAAAAACUAUACAACUUUCAGCAACGGAUCUCUUGGCUCUC